UUGGAUUCUUGGGACAGAUUCCCAGAAACUUAAGUUUAUCUGACUUGACAGCUGAUUUCUCUAAUAGUACUGGUUAGUUCUCUCUCUCUCUCUCUCCCUCUCUCUCUACACUCUGAUGCGCAUGCACUGGAUGUGUGUGUAAAUUCAAUGGCUUGACAGUCUUAAGUAUGUUGCCUAAGCUUAAUAAAAGUAGUACAUUUAAAGUAAAGACUUUUGAAAAAGUUAGUUUUUGAACUAAAAAUAUCAGGAAAAAAAGUUCCUUCUAGAAGAGCUUAAACAUAUUUGGCAAAUAAAAAGGUUACUUAAAGAGUGACUUUUAAGCUUACCAAACAUGUUACUGUGAAUCUAGGGAACUCCUUGGUUCUUAUGCACGGGUAUUUUAUUUUUCAUAUUUAUGAUUUGUAUGAUUUACCCUUUUCAGAUAUUUUAGAGAGCUAUUCUAGAUCUCCAUUUCUUGGAACCGAUACAAUCUUCAUGGAUCCUAGUGUUCUGGGGGAAUAUCAAGAUAUUGAGAGGCUGAACACAAUAUCAGAGGGCUUGAAUUAUGAAGAUUUUGGCAGCGAUUGAAGAAUUUAAAGGUAUCCAGGGUCGCCAAUUGCUCGGUAUGCAGAAACUUUUUUGAACAGGUUCUGGAUUUUAAAACUAUUUGAAGGUAUUGGCAUGUGUCGAGGUAACUAUUUAGACGCAAUGAACAGAAACCAUCGUGUCUUGGAUCAGUUUAGGUAGAAACAUGGCAUGCAAAGGCUUGUUCUUGGAGACUGGGUGUUCUUAUUGAUUUCUUUAUAUGAUAGCUUCGUCUAGAAGCCUAACAGUGUUUCCUUGUAUUUGUAUUGGUGUUGAUUGAUGGAGUAAAAGAGAAUUUUAUGUUUCUGGAUUGGGAUCAACCCCUGCGUUUGAUCUGACAGUUUUGUAAUUUGAUAUAUAAAUAAAAAUAAGCAACUUUUUUAUUGAUCAAA